rnacentral:miRNA from 1 species
CUUUGUACCAGAUGCUUUGUU